rnacentral:lncRNA from 1 species
AAGAAUUGUUCUGGGCUUCUGGCAUGAAUCAUAGAUAGGCAAUUCGUUAAACUGUAACUCAGUGUCUGGUAGUACUAAAAUAGGCAUAUGGUCACGUAUUUAUUACAUAAAUCAGUAAAAUGUUAAAAUGCAUGUCAAUUCCCACAAAUCAACCUAGGAAACAUAUGAAGGAUAACCAAAUAAGCUGGGUCACGGCUGUCAUUGUCGAGGUGCUUACUGCCUCUCCUGCCGCCUCCUGCCCAUCCCAGUCAAUGACAACCCUGACGUCUCCUUCCAGGCAGUGUGUGUGUGGCCUGCACCGCAUCCAGAUCCUAGUUAAGAGAGGCAAAACUAUGUAACAAUAUGAUUAUUUAUUAGGAUCAGAAAUAUUUUGCUGAGUGACAAACUCAACAUCAGCAAUCCCUGUGAAAAAGAAAAAGAAAACUUUACAUCCGCAAUGUAAGAAAUGAUAAGUACCAUGAUUACAACUGAUAUGUUGCAUCAGCAAGUAUACAACAGAAAAGUGCAUGGUCAACUAACUGGGAUACAAAUAUUGUACCAGAUGAGGUGAAUACACCUGCAAUUAUAAGAUACAAACAUCAGGUGUGAGCUUACUGGAAUGCUAAUGCUGCAACGAACAAAUAUAAAAUUCCCAAACAUACAGGUUCCAUUAUGACGCUGCUAAUUUAACCUAACUAUUACCAACAGAGAAAAUAAUGAGGAGCCACUCGGAACUCAGACCCGGGCAGGGUUGGGGCGGUGAGGACCAGCAGGUCAAUGCUGCUGCAGGCGGGAGGGCACGGGAUUCAUUUACAUACGACCUAUUGGUAGGGAGCCUACCGGGUGAGAAGAUUCAAAUGCCGUGGUCGCCGGCCGGAGUUGGGGAAGAAACCAUCUACAUCCACGCUGUGCCGCCCGGGAG